rnacentral:rRNA from 1 species
AAACGACUCUCGGCAACGGAUAUCUCGGCUCUCGCAUCGAUGAAGAACGUAGCGAAAUGCGAUACUUGGUGUGAAUUGCAGAAUCCCGUGAACCAUCGAGUCUUUGAACGCAAGUUGCGCCCGAAGCCUUUUGGCCAAGGGCACGUCUGCCUGGGCGUCACGCAU